ACUGCGUUGGCCAAAUUGUUCAUUUGGGUUUUUCCAUAACAUGGAAAAACUUGAGUGAACUUUUGGGCUAACCCAG
rnacentral:miRNA from 1 species